rnacentral:rRNA from 1 species
AUGGCCAGCACAUGUUUCUCGAUGUCCUCCAACCUCACGCCGAACUGCUUGAACGCCUCCAGCGCCGUGGCGUCCGACGUCCACUCCGGCAUGUCGUGCUGCCCCAGGUAGAGCUCGUCGGAGGAAUGCUUGGACAGGACCCCUAUCAGCGAGAUGCCGAUGAGGGCCUGAGACGGGUGGGUGAUGGUGCGGAGGAACACCUUCACCGGAUCUUUCUCUAGCUCCGCGUACUCAUCGGAGCCUCGCUCGGGCAUCGGGCGCCGGCUCGCCGAUGGCUUGUUGGGGUGAUAACCUGAGUAAGGGUACUGCCCAAAGUUGACGGCCGCGUGCAGAGCCGACCCAAUCCAGAUAAUGGUGAUGCAGGCCUUGACCAGCUCCGCCACCGUCUGCAUGUUGGGCCACCAAGGUGCAUCCUUGAGGUCGCCAUGCCCGACCUCUCGCACCUCCAUCCACCAUGCCUGCGGCUCUACGUCUUCCAGGAGCACGCCGUCGUCAGUGUAG